AGGAAGCCCGCCACACGGGACUUACGAAGAACAUCAUCACUUAGGCUUCCUCGAGAACGGUGACAUGUACCAUUACGUUCGCUCUACAAACUACGGAGGAGAUAAUGGUGUGUCGUACGGGUCCAUCUACGCACCUGCGUCCGUGAUGCGUCCGAUCGACUGCAGCCAAGUGAACAUAGACGAGUCCUUCGACGCCGAGCGUAGCAGCCUCAACAUAGGAAGCGG